rnacentral:misc_RNA from 1 species
GAAAUGCGAUAAGUAAUGUGAAUUGCAGAAUUCAGUGAAUCAUCGAAUCUUUGAACGCACCUUGCGCUCCUUGGUAUUCCUUGGAGCAUGUCUGUUUGAGUAUCAUGAAAUCUUCAAAGUAAAUCUUUUGUUAACUCAAUUGGUUUCUACUUUGGUAUUGGAGGUCUUUGCAGCUUCACACCUGCUCCUCUUUGUUCAUUAGCUGGAUCUCAGUGUUAUGCUUGGUUCCACUCGGCGUGAUAAGUUAUCUAUCGCUGAGGACACUGUAAAAGGUGGCCAAGGUAAAUGCAGAUGAACCGCUUCUAAUAGUCCAUUGACUUGGACAAUACUUUUAUGAUCCGAUCUCAAAUCAGGUAGGACUACCCGCUGAACUUAAGC